GUCUUCUCUCACUAUCUUUUUCCUCAGGGUUUUAAUCCAAGGAAACCUCAGAGUGUUUUGCUUCCCUUCCUUUUUCUAUCUGAUUUCCCUUUUUUAUAACCUGAUUUUCAUGGCUUUGUGGGCUCAAAUGAGAGAGGUCCAAGUCCAAGUUUUUUCUAUUAUAUUUUAUUUAUUUUUUUAUUAUUAUUUUUAUUUAUUAUUAUUAUUCUUAUUAUUUUUUUUUUCGUUUUUUUUUUUAAAUAAAGUUUCUUGGAUCUAAUUCUGAUUGACAUGAUGAAAUGCAAUAUGAAAUGCUA
rnacentral:lncRNA from 1 species